AUUGAACGCUGGCGGCAUGCCUUACACAUGCAAGUCGAACGGCAGCACGGGUGCUUGCACCUGGUGGCGAGUGGCGAACGGGUGAGUAAUACAUCGGAACAUGUCCUGUAGUGGGGGAUAGCCCGGCGAAAGCCGGAUUAAUACCGCAUACGAUCUACGGAUGAAAACGGGGGACCUUCGGGCCUCGCGCUAUAGGGUUGGCCGAUGGCUGAUUAGCUAGUUGGUGGGGUAAAGGCCUACCAAGGCGACGAGCAGUAGCUGGUCUGAGAGGACGACCAGCCACACUGGGACUGAGACACGGCCCAGACUCCUACGGGAGGCAGCAGUGGGGAAUCUUGGACAAUGGGCGAAAGCCUGAUCCAGCAAUGCCGCGUGUGUGAAGAAGGCCUUCGGGUUGUAAAGCACUUUUGUCCGGAAAGAAAUCCUUGGCCCUAAUACGGUCGGGGGAUGACGGUACCGGAAGAAUAAGCACCGGCUAACUACGUG
rnacentral:rRNA from 1 species